UACGUAGGGUGGAAGCGUUGUCCGGAUUUAUUGGGUUUAAAGGGUGCGUAGGUGGCUGAUUAAGUCAUGGGUGAAAGCCCGCAGCUCAACUGUGGAAUUGCCUGUGAUACUGAUUAGCUUGAGUGCGGUUGAGGCAGCUGGAAUUGGUGGUGUAGCGGUGAAAUGCAUAGAUACCACCAGGAACACCGAUUGCGAAGGCAGGUUGCUAAGCCGUAACUGACACUGAGGCACGAAAGCGUGGGGAGCAAACAGG
rnacentral:rRNA from 1 species